rnacentral:lncRNA from 1 species
CGUCCAGUUUUCGUUAGUAACAUCAUAAGGCCAUACAGCCUGUCCUGUAUCUCAUCAGUCCUAGUUUGUCUCUCAACCAUGGUCAAAAUUGGGCUAUUUUCCCCAGAUAUGCUCCUAGCCGUAGUGAUAUCCACAGAUCGAUUAAUAACCUCGGGCUUAUAAUAUAGCUCCUCUUCAUCAACCCUAUUCCUUUGCAAAAACCUUGUCACCAAUCCUCCAAAGCUAAAGCUGUGCCCUGCCUGGAUACACACCUUCUUCAUCACAGAAAAUAUCAUAUGCCCCACAUUAAUAUCAAUAUCAGCACACAUGAGGGCGU